ensembl:ncRNA lncRNA:CR45102 long non-coding RNA:CR45102
AGUGUUGUAUCUGUGUAAUACCCAUUUGAAUUAGAUAUUAAUGUAGCAAUCAAAGAAAACAUCGUAGAACAAGUGUAAUAGUAAUAGUGCAAUAAGCUAACAUAAGCCCACAUCCACACUAACUUCUUCCCAUUUUAUCCAUUUUAAUUUUUUAUUUCUAGAGAAAUUUUGUUUUGAUCUUGUUCUGAAAAGACACGCAUAUAAGACAUUAUCAUAUAAUAUGUUGUGAUUGCGUAAAACCACAGCUUUCUCUUGCAAUUUAAAUUUUUGCCUUAAUGACAUUGAAACGGAAUCAAAGUAACAACAGAACAGCUAAUUCCCCGAAAUUAACACACCCACAACAAAGGAAAGCUUAAAAAAUAUUUAUAUACAAGGAAUGGUAAAGAAAGAACGAAAAUAGUUUAGAAAUAGACAACACAAUUAUCACGAUAAGGAAAAGAAAUCUAGCAAAAAGCAGUAACACAAAACUGAAUGUUAUAUUUUGGAGCAUUUUUUUCAAUGUGUAUGUCUUAGCAUAUAUAUUACACAUAUAUAUAUAUUAUAAAUAGGAAAGUAAAAGUGGAUUGAUAAAAGUAUUAGCAAAAGAUAUUUCGUGAACAAUAACGAAGGGCAGAUGGAGACGGAAAGAGUAGGCUGUCUCUUUCUACUCCCCUAAAUAUUUGCAAGUUUUUUACGUCGAGCAUGAAUAUAAAAACUGUAUAUCAUCUAACUAUAUAUUUGUAUACACGAACUAAAGUGCGCAGGUUAUGUAUCGUGAAAUUUUCCAUAUUUUUUUGUAAAUAAUUAAAAAACAACAAGCCUUACGUUUUUCUGUCAUCACGGGGGACUUAUAGUUUUUUUUUUUUUAAGAAAGAUUUUUUCCACCAAAGGGACAGCAAAUCAAAAAUUAUUUUCACACAAGAAUGUUUUCUAUAAAAGAAGAGAAGCAAAUAAAUAAUCUUAAAAAAUCGAAAUCUAUUAUCUAGAAAUAUAUAUAUGUGUGUGGAUCGUAUGUGUAAAUGUGUUUGAAUGUAAAAUGCUUUAGUCACAUAAGUUGAAAGAGAAAAUUGAAUUAACUAUAUAGAAUUACAUGCCUGUGUGUGUCACUCGAUUUCUGUUAGUAGUAAUAAUCAUAAAAGAAAAUGUAAAAAAAUAAUAAUACAAACCCAAAAUUUUGAACUUUAAAACUAGCUUUUAUGUUAUCUAAUUUAUGUUUUUUUUUUUCGUUGUAUUAAUUAAAAACCACUGAAAAUGCGUUUUCUGAUUUUUUUAAAAUUAUCCUUUGUAAGUAGGCAAGUAACAAAUGCUUAAACAUAAUAUUAUUUUGUGUAAUUUUUUACUAAACAAAAAAUCAAGCAUGGAAACAGCAAACAACAAAACGAUUUCAUUUUAGAUAUUUAAGCAUAACUUAACUAAUUAUUAAUGAUUAAAUAAAUUUUUUCUUUAAGUU